CUGUUUUAGGUGGUCGAAGGUGACCAGCUGGCCGUGUUCAAACAUAUGGCAGAUUCUCUGUAGUCCUGCUGUUUCUAGGUUUGUGAAAUCUCUCGCUGCCAUGCCCGGGGCGAAAGCUCGGUUUCUCAGAAGGGGUGUCAGUGGAGAUGGGGAGGAAGACAGAUUGUACUUGAGAGCCGUGGCAUCCCAUAUCCUCAGAGAGUUUAGUAUAGCUGGGCAUGU